UGGGGAAUUUUGGACAAUGGGCGCAAGCCUGAUCCAGCCAUGCCGCGUGUGUGAAGAAGGCCUUCGGGUUGUAAAGCACUUUCGGCCGGAACGAAAUCGCCUUUGUUAAUAGCGAAGGUGGAUGACGGUACCGGAAGAAGAAGCACCGGCUAACUACGUGCCAGCAGCCGCGGUAAUACGUAGGGUGCGAGCGUUAAUCGGAAUUACUGGGCGUAAAGGGUGCGCAGGCGGCCCCGCAAGUCAGGCGUGAAAUCCCCGGGCUUAACCUGGGAAUGGCGCUUGAAACUACGGGGCUGGAGUAUGGCAGAGGGAGUGGAAUUCCACGUGUAGCGGUGAAAUGCGUAGAGAUGUGGAGGAACACCGAUGGCGAAGGCAGCCUCCUGGGCCAAUACUGACGCUCAUGCACGAAAGCGUGGGGAGCAAAACAGGAUUAAGAUACCCUGGUAGUCCACGCCCUAAAGAUGAUG
rnacentral:rRNA from 1 species